AUCCAGCUGAAGAGUCUGAAAUAGGACGAAACGCGCAUCCUGGAU
rfam:Schistosoma mansoni strain Puerto Rico chromosome 3, complete genome